UACAGAGGUCUCAAGCGUUGUUCGGAUUCAUUGGGCGUAAAGGGUGUGUAGGUGGCACGCUAAGUCGGGUGUGAAAUUUCGGAGCUUAACUCCGAAACUGCAUUCGAUACUGGCGUGCUUGAGGACUGGAGAGGAGACUGGAAUUCAUGGUGUAGCAGUGAAAUGCGUAGAGAUCAUGAGGAAGACCAGUGGCGAAGGCGGGUCUCUGGACAGUUCCUGACACUGAGACACGAAGGCCAGGGGAGCAAACGGG
rnacentral:rRNA from 1 species